GAACAAUCGGGUCCCACCUAGCGAGGACCCCUAAGAUGGCGGCCAUCGCGAUGCCUGUGCGCAAGUCGCAACGGAUGCACUUGUCACGAAGGACACAAGACAGAAGCUCUGUCCCAGACGCUCUCGAGUUACGUUGAGACUGAGGAUUCCCCAAUCUUCCACAAUGGACUUCACAUAGGAUGAACUGUUUCCAGUUUCAGCAAAACAGCAAGAAUUUAUGAAUGGAUGACUGCACCUUAGCACUCUUCACUCCCACUGCAUGCCUCACCUGGGCCACAGAGAAAACAAUGUUGCUGCCUGUACAUGGCAAAAUUAACCUUUAACCUUACAGCUGAAUCAAUGCAGUAACACUGUUAACUACCAAUGAUAUUGUACCAAAUGUUCAGACUGAAUAUACAGAGGAGAACUGGUCCCCAGUGUUUUUGGUUAGUCUGGUUUCUCCAAAGGUUUUUUUUACUCCAGUAUCGACAUCUUACAGUUUUUUCUUAAUUAACCCCUGUUGCCUUUGGCUUGCUUGCUGUAUGUAUGACGACUAAUGCAUUUAACACCAACUAUUAAAACAGUGAGGGUGUUUUUGACAACAUAAACACAAUAGUAUGUCUUUCUGUAAAGAUUCUUUGAAAAUGUUAUGCAUUUUGAAAAAUGUAUAAAUGUCUUACAUAGAUAGUGUGCAUAUUCCUUGAACAUUUAUAUGUAAAAAAAAAAACAGUAGAAUCAUUAUAUUAUAAUUGCAAAUUAUAAUUAUAUAGCAAUUAUUGCUAUCUAUAUAAACUAUCUAGCUGUAUUUUUAGUUACUUUCAGUGCACAAACAACCAUUAUUCACUUACUAUACUAAAUGGUAUAAAUAUAAUAGGCAUACUGACAUACUUCAUGUAAAAUUAAUAUAACAUUCAUUUUACAUAAAAUAAUAAUAUAUAUGUAUAUAAUACAACAAUAACACGGUUCUGCACAAACAAUUGCGAUUUUAUAUCAUUUAGAUUAACAAUAUAAAUUUACACACACACAUCGAGUAGCUGUAUGCUAUGCUGAUACGCGAGUAACAAAAAAAAAAAAAAAAACGAGAAAUGUUUGAUUUCACAACCUAAAGCGCGUCGGCUAUAUACUAGCAUAUGAAACAUGUAAUUUAAAGUACAUAAAUGGUCAUUAUAGCAAAGUUCAAACGACAAAAAUAAAAACGCUAUUUAGCAGGAAUUGUAAUCAGGCGCUAAAAAAUAAUACCCAUUAAUUGUUCGUUGAGCCAAUGGGAUCACUCGGGGUCCUAAGCGGACUCGAUUUCUCGGGCGGACUCGAUUUCUCAUGACACCGGCGCUAAUGAUGUUCGACUUCGGCAGUCAGAGAUCACUAAAAAUAACUUUAAAGAGAUGUGUGAACUUGCAAGCACGAUGUCAGACACUGUAAUAUGCUCUGGUCCCCUCCCUGCUUACCGUGGUGAUGAGAUACAUAGCGGAUUGUCAUCACUCAAUGGCUGGAUGUCUAAGUGGUGCCCACAGAAUAACAUAGGUUUCAUAGACAAUUGGACGAGCUUUUGGGGCAGACCUGACCUGUUUAAAAGAGAUGGUCUUCAUCCCUCCUGGGGUGGCGCCACUCUUCUGUCUAGAAAUAUGGCACAUAGUCUUAGUGUUUAUACUUGACUAACUGGGGCCCAGGUCAGGAAGCAGACAGACUGGCUAAAGGGACCGUCUGCUAGCUGCCUCCCGUCACAGAGGUCAGUUAAUUCUCAGCACAUAGAGACUCUUUCACCUAGAUAUCACACUAUAGAGACUGUGUCUGUUCCCCGAACUAGAAAAUACAAAAAAUGUCCAAACCAAGUUAAGGUUAACAAUUUAAUUGAGGUUCAACAAAUAAAAAACAAAUGCAAUAUGGAUAAACAAAUGAUAAAGAUUGGCUUAUUGAAUAUCAGGUCCAUUUCUACGAAAACACUUUUUGUAAAUAAUAUGAUAACUGAUCAUAAUAUAGAUGUGCUCUGCUUGACAGAAACCUGGCUAAAACUAACUAAUAUUUGUCUGUUUCUCUCUUGUUCCGAGGUCACCGUAGCCACCAGAUCCAGUCUGUGUCCAGAUCAGAGGGUCACUGCAGUCACCCGGAUCCAGUACGUAUUCAGACCAGAUGGUGGAUCAGCACCUAGAAAGGACCUCUACUGCCCUGAAAGACAGCGGAGACCAGGACAACUAGAGCCCCAGAUACAGAUCCCCUGUAAAGACCUUGUCUCAGAGGAGCACCAGGACAAGACCACAGGAAACAGAUGAUUCUUCUGCACAAUCUGACUUUGCUGCAGCCUGGAAUUGAACUACUGGUUUCAUCUGGUCAGAGGAGAACUGGCCCCCCAACUGAGCCUGGUUUCUCCCAAGGUUUUUUUCUCCAUUCUGUCACUGAUGGAGUUUCGGUUCCUUGCCGCUGUCGCCUCUGGCUUGCUUAGUUGGGGUCACUUCAUCUACAGCGAUAUCAUUGACUUGAUUGCAAAUUAAAACAGACACUAUUUCAACUGAACAGAGAUUACAUAACUGAAUUCAAUGAUGAACUGCCUUUAACUAUCAUUUUGCAUUAUUGAGACACUGUUUUCCAAAUGAAUGUUGUUCAGUGCUUUGGCGCAAUGUAUUUUGUUUAAAGCGCUAUAUAAAUAAAGGUGAUUGAUUGAUUGA